GCCAGCCCGCUCAGAAACUUAAAUGAAUUGACGGGGGCCCGCACAAGCGGUGGAGCAUGUGGUUUAAUUCGAUGAUACGCGAGGAACCUUACCUGGGCUCAAAUGUAUGUUGACGUAUUCUGAAAGGGAUACUUCUUCGGACAAUAUACAAGGUGCUGCAUGGUUGUCGUCAGCUCGUGCCGUGAGGUGUCGGGUUAAGUCCCAUAACGAGCGCAACCCCUAUCAUUAGUUGCCAUCAGGUCAAGCUGGGGACUCUAAUGAAACUGCCUACGCAAGUAGUGAGGAAGGUGGGGAUGACGUCAAAUCAGCACGGCCCUUACGUCCAGGGCUACACACGUGCUACAAUGGCCGGUACAAAGGGCAGCUACCUGGUGACAGGAUGCUAAUCUCAAAAGCCGGUCUCAGUUCGGAUCGGAGUCUGCAACCCGACUCCAUGAAGUUGGAAUCGCUAGUAAUCGCGCAUCAGCAUGGCGCGGUGAAUACGUUCCCGGGCCUU
rnacentral:rRNA from 1 species